UAUUUUUGCGGCGUAAGCGGUUCCCGGAGGCUCAAGUCUGCCCGAGGGAUUAAAAGGGAAGUCCGGUGCGAAACCGGCGCUAUCCCCGUAGCUGUAAGCUGUAGCGUUUCGCCCCCAGCGAGACACUGACCGAUCUUCAGACCACUGGGUCAAAAAGACCUUCCAGCUCUUAAAGAGAUGGAAGGUCUAAAAACCCGGGAAGGUAUCGGCCAGCCAGCAAGCCAGAAGACCUGCCGGUUACGCAAUUUCCAU
rnacentral:ncRNA from 1 species